CCUACGGGAGGCAGCAGUGAGGAAUAUUGGUCAAUGGGCGCGAGCCUGAACCAGCCAAGUAGCGUGAAGGAUGACUGCCCUACGGGUUGUAAACUUCUUUUAUAAAGGAAUAAAGUGAGGCACGUGUGCCUUUUUGCAUGUACUUUAUGAAUAAGGAUCGGCUAACUCCGUGCCAGCAGCCGCGGUAAUACGGAGGAUCCGAGCGUUAUCCGGAUUUAUUGGGUUUAAAGGGUGCGUAGAGGGGUUGUUAAGUUAGUUGUGAAACGUUGCGGCUCAACCGUGAAAUUGCAAUUGAUACUGGAAGUCUUGAGUACAGUUGAGGUAGGCGGAAUUCGUGGUGUAGCGGUGAAAUGCUUAGAUAUCACGAAGAACUCCGAUUGCGAAGGCAGCUUACUAAACUGCCACUGACAUUGAUGCUCGAGAGUGUGGGUAUCAAACAGGAUUAGAUACCCUUGUAGUC
rnacentral:rRNA from 1 species